rnacentral:lncRNA from 1 species
ACAAUUCCAUUAUAUUGGUCCGAGAACACAAUUAUUUCGUAGUGCAUUUCUUUUAGAACAUAAAUGAAAAUUAAAAAAAUCCCACCUGCGCUUUCUCAAAGAAACUUUUACAGUGUGUUGUACUACUUUUGGGACAAAUUAUAUCAAAAUUAUAGAAAACUUCAUCGGCUCUAACUCAAAAUAUGGACAAUUUUAUGUUUAGGGCGUCUUGAAAUCUUUU